rnacentral:rRNA from 1 species
AGAGUUUGAUCCUGGCUCAGGACGAACGCUGACGGUGUGCUUUAGGCAUGCAAGUCGAACGAGAAAGCCCUUCGGGGUGAGUAAAGUGGCGAACGGGUGAGUAACACGUGGGCAACCUGCCCCUCGCAGGGGGACAACCGGAGGAAACUCCGGCUAAUACCCCGUAAGCUCUACACGCCGCAUGGCGAGUAGAGGAAAGGUAGCUUCGGCCAUCCGGCGAGGGAUGGGCCCGCGGUGCAUUAGCUAGUUGGUGGGGUAACGGCCCACCAAGGCGACGAUGCGUAGCUGGUCUGAGAGGAUGAUCAGCCACACUGGGACUGAGACACGGCCCAGACUCCUACGGGAGGCAGCAGCCAGGAAUCUUGGGCAAUGGGCGAAAGCCUGACCCAGCAACACCGUGUGGGUGAUGAAGGCCUUCGGGUCGUAAAGCCCUGUUGAUAGGGACGAAGGGCGAAGGGUUAAUAGCCCGGAGCUUGACGGUACCUUUCGAGGAAGCCCCGGCUAACUACGUGCCAGCGGCCGCGGUAAUACGUAGGGGGCGAGCGUUGUCCGGAAUUAUUGGGCGUAAAGUGCGUGUAGGCGGUUCGGUAAGUCUGUCGUGAAAUCCUGGGGCUCAACCCUGGGCGUGCGAUGGAUACUGCCGGGCUAGAGGGUGGUAGAGGCGAGUGGAAUUCCCGGUGUAGCGGUGAAAUGCGCAGAUAUCGGGAGGAACACCAGUAGCGAAGGCGGCUCGCUGGGCCACACCUGACGCUGAGACGCGAAAGCUAGGGGAGCGAACAGGAUUAGAUACCCCAGUAGUCC